GACGAACGCUGGCGGCGUGCCUAAUACAUGCAAGUUGAGCGAUGAAGAUUGGUGCUUGCACCAAUUUGAAGAGCAGCGAACGGGUGAGUAACGCGUGGGGAAUCUGCCUUUGAGCGGGGGACAACAUUUGGAAACGAAUGCUAAUACCGCAUAACAACUUUAAACAUAAGUUUUAAGUUUGAAAGAUGCAAUUGCAUCACUCAAAGAUGAUCCCGCGUUGUAUUAGCUAGUUGGUGAGGUAAAGGCUCACCAAGGCGAUGAUACAUAGCCGACCUGAGAGGGUGAUCGGCCACAUUGGGACUGAGACACGGCCCAAACUCCUACGGGAGGCAGCAGUAGGGAAUCUUCGGCAAUGGACGAAAGUCUGACCGAGCAACGCCGCGUGAGUGAAGAAGGUUUUCGGAUCGUAAAACUCUGUUGGUAGAGAAGAACGUUGGUGAGAGUGGAAAGCUCAUCAAGUGACGGUAACUACCCAGAAAGGGACGGCUGACUACGUG
rnacentral:rRNA from 1 species